UGCUCACUGACCACGUGUCUACUGGCGAUGCUUCUCUGUUAUAGUUCACCUCAAAUGUCAUCAUCCUUUUGAAGUCAGGGCUCUUCCACUCCAAAUGCAUCCACCCAGAUGCUAAAAGGCCUUGCUGUGUAUCGUACGCUUGGGAAUACAGUACUCCUGCUGCCGAAACUCAUCAAAUAAUCCAAACGAUCUUCUUGCCUUUUUUGCUUGUGGGUCAUUGUCACGCUUUGACCAGCAGAGGGCGGCAUCCUCAGUUUCUUCGCGGUCUCCUUUGGGUUCACAAAACUCCAGAGGAGAACGACCAGGGCACUGUGGUAGUACAUCACGGGAUUAGCAGGGGGCGCGUUAGUCUUCCCUUCGUCUGACACAUAAAUCAGGAAGAAAAAAAAAUGUCCCACACUCAUAUUUUGUGGUCAGUGUGCAUUCUGAAGGUGGAGUCCGGGUGGAGUUGAGCAGCAAAGAAAUUCUUAAAGGGCCCGCAGCAAAUCUGGAAGCGAGGCUGUGAAGAUAUACAUUCUCAAAAAAUACCGGGGAUAAAAACACCUGACUGUCUUGGAACUGUAUUUUCGCAUUGAAAAUGCUACCAAAUCGGUUCAGGACUGGGACCCGAGUUGUCACUGUAGUUGCUUUGUUCAGAUGUGUAAUUUCUACUGGUCAAUAAUCCUGGACCCUGAUAUGAUUGUGAGAAACACCAACGUCACAGCUUCUGCUUCUUGGGUGAUGAAGCUCAAUCCUUUUUGGGACCUCUUAUUGACAAUCGGGACCUUGAUUGUCGACCUUGCCAAUUACUCGGCCUUUCGCAUGCCACGUCGGAGACUGGACACCACAAAUGUCCCAUGUCGGCAAGCGGCACCUUCGACUGUUAGCUGAGAAUAUGGCAAAGCCUCGCUGCAUGGACAUUUGCUCCAGAAGAAUUUUAUGAGUGAGCAAAUGCCUGAUGGACCGAGGACAUGAAGAGAAGAGGUUUGCGUGUAAAAUGAGCGCAUGUGUCAAGAGCUCCGUGCCAUCCUCUAAUAAAA